rnacentral:rRNA from 1 species
AGAGUUUGAUCCUGGCUCAGGAUGAACGCUAGCGGCAGGCCUUACACAUGCAAGUCGAGGGGCAGCAUAAAUUACUUGUAAUUUGAUGGCGACCGGCGAACGGGUGCGUAACGCGUAUGCAACUUACCUUUUACUAGAGAAUAGCCAAGAGAAAUUUUGAUUAAUGCUCUAUGUUCUUAUUUACUCGCAUGAGUAAAUAAGCAAAGCUCCGGCGGUAAAAGAUGGGCAUGCGUCCUAUUAGCUUGUAGGUGAGGUAAUGGCUCACCUAAGCUCCGAUAGGUAGGGGUCCUGAGAGGGAGAUCCCCCACACUGGUACUGAGACACGGACCAGACUCCUACGGGAGGCAGCAGUGAGGAAUAUUGGACAAUGGAGGCAACUCUGAUCCAGCCAUGCCGCGUGCAGGAAGACGGCCCUAUGGGUUGUAAACUGCUUUUAUACAGGAAGAAUGGUACCUACGUGUAGGUAUUUGACGGUACUGUACGAAUAAGGAUCGGCUAACUCCGUGCCAGCAGCCGCGGUAAUACGGAGGAUCCAAGCGUUAUCCGGAUUCAUUGGGUUUAAAGGGUCCGUAGGCGGGUCUUUAAGUCAGUGGUGAAAGCCGACAGCUCAACUGUCGAACUGCCAUUGAUACUGGAGAUCUUGAGUACAAAUGAAGUAGGCGGAAUGAGUCAUGUAGCGGUGAAAUGCAUAGAUAUGACUCAGAACACCGAUUGCGAAGGCAGCUUACUAACAUGUAACUGACGCUGAGGGACGAAAGCGUGGGGAGCGAACAGGAUUAGAUACCCUGGUAGUCUACACUGUAAAUUCUGAGUGCUGUAAUUUAAAUUAAAGAUUUUAGAUUUUUUAAGCUAACGCCAUAAGCAUUCCGCCUGAGGAGUACGAUCGCAAGGUUGGAACUCAAAGGAAUUGACGGGAGCCUACAACGAGUGGUGGAGCAUGUGGUUUAAUGCGAUAAUCCGCGCAAAACCUUACCAACCCUUGACAUAUCAAAAAAUAAUUUGAAAUAUUCACAAUUAUUUUAUAGUUAAUUUUUCAAUUAACAAACUUUUUUUACAGGUGUUGCACGA